UACGUAGGGUGCAGGCGUUAAUCGGAAUUACUGGGCGUAAAGCGUGCGCAGGCGGUUUCUUAAGUCAGAUGUGAAAGCCCCGGGCUUAACCUGGGAACUGCGUUUGAAACUGGGAGACUUGAGUGUGGCAGAGGGGGGUGGAAUUCCACGUGUAGCAGUGAAAUGCGUAGAGAUGUGGAGGAACACCGAUGGCGAAGGCAGCCCCCUGGGCCAAUACUGACGCUCAUGCACGAAAGCGUGGGGAGCAAACAGG
rnacentral:rRNA from 1 species